CAGCUCUUCAAGUGGUCGGGAUUAUUAUUGGGCUUAAAGUGUCCGUAGCCGGUAUAGUAAGUUCCUGGUUAAAUCGGAUAGCUUAACUAUCUGUUGGCUAGGAAUACUGCUAUACUAGGGGGCGGGAGAGGUCUGAGGUACUCCAGGGGUAGGGGUGAAAUCCUAUAAUCCUUGGGGACCACCAGUGGCGAAGGCGUCAGACUGGAACGCGCCCGACGGUGAGGGACGAAAGCCAGGGGAGCGAACCGGAUUAGAUACCCGAGUAGUCC
rnacentral:rRNA from 1 species